GCUUAACACAUGCAAGUCGAGGGGCAGCAUGUUGGUUGCUUGCAACCAAUGAUGGCGACCGGCGCACGGGUGAGUAACGCGUAUCCAACCUUCCCCUUACUCAGGAAUAGCCCGUUGAAAGACGGAUUAAUGCCUGAUGUUCUCUGUUUCCGGCAUCGGUAAUAGAGCAAAGAUUCAUCGGUAAGGGAUGGGGAUGCGUAUGAUUAGCUUGUUGGCGGGGUAACGGCCCACCAAGGCAACGAUCAUUAGGGGUUCUGAGAGGAAGGUCCCCCACACUGGAACUGAGACACGGUCCAGACUCCUACGGGAGGCAGCAGUGAGGAAUAUUGGUCAAUGGUCGGAAGACUGAACCAGCCAAGUAGCGUGAAGGAUGAAGGUUCUAUGGAUUGUAAACUUCUUUUAUACGGGAAUAAAACCUCCCACGUGUGGGAGCUUGUAUGUACCGUAUGAAUAAGCAUCGGCUAACUCCGUGCCAGCAGCCGCGGUAAUACGGAGGAUGCGAGCGUUAUCCGGAUUUAUUGGGUUUAAAGGGAGCGUAGACGGGAGAUUAAGUCAGUUGUGAAAGGCUGCGGCUCAACCGCAGCACUGCAGUUGAUACUGGUUUCCUUGAGUUCGGUUGAGGUGUAUGGAAUUCGUGGUGUAGCGGUGAAAUGCUUAGAUAUCACGAA
rnacentral:rRNA from 1 species